AAAAACCACUCUUUCUUGAUUUGCGUGGCCUUCAAAGAAAUGCUGCAGAGCGCAACAACUCAGCACAAGCACGAAAAGAAGAGCAGCAGCGAGUGCGCCCACCACCGGCACUGCCACCAGAACCACCGCCGGCGCCGGCGGCGGAGUUACAGUGAGGGCAUGGAGUUGGUGAUCUUGUGAGGUCGAAAAUGCAGUUGGGUGUGGGUCUCUCAUGCCAUGUUUGGUGUUUUUCGGUUCAGGAUUCGGGCUUUCGAGGGUCUCUUCUUGUUGGGUGUCUUCUUCUGUGUCCGCAUUGGUUGAUUGGUGAGUUGGGGACUGGGGUAUGGUCAUUUGGAGUUGCAUUGAGUGAAGGAUGUUAGGGUUAGAGCUUCGGAGGAGUUUCGGCUUGUGUGCUCGUGGUAUCUCUGCUGGGUUUCGUUUGGAUUCGGCGUCACGAUGAAAUUAGGUUUUCGACAAAAAGAUUUGGACUCAACCCCAGGUCCAAGUUUGGAUGGAAGUUUCAGGAGGUCUAAAUCUGGUGUUUCUCCUGAUAGAAGGUCUGAGGUUUCAACUUCAAGCAAGUAUUUUCCCACUUCCAGAAGAGUGUUCAGGGGUCUAAAAGACUAUGCAAGGAAGCUUUCUGAUGUUGAUGCAUUUACACAGGAAAUUGAAGAUUGGGUUCUGGAGAGGACAUCUUCAGGCACUGAGGAGGGGAAACAAUUGUUUAGGUCUCCCUUCCUUGUUGAUGAGUUGCGGAAACUUGAUUAUGCAUUAGAAGGGAUCUUAUUUCAGCAGCUCUUUCGUAUGCCUUACUCACUGUAUCCUUCUGAUGAUCUGAAAGAGGAUGAGUAUCUUGCUUUAGAAGACUUCCUUCAUACUAUUGUAGAUGGUUUAUGGCGUACCUUUUGGCACAGACAUGGGCCACUGCCAUUCUUUGUGUCUUGUCCACGUCAUCCUGGAUCUAAGUUCUAUACAGUUGAAAGGGCAAUAAUGAGAGGAAGGCUAGGAGGGCUCUGUGGAGCAGCAUUGUUAUCAAAAAAUGAGAACAGUAUGCAAGCUCAGUGGGAUCAAGUGAUGGAAUUUGCACUGUUUAAACCAGAUAUUUCACAGGGAAAUGAGUUGGGCUUUUCUGCCGCUAUCAUAUGUGAAGCCCUGUUUUAUGGUUUUCAUAUACUUCUUUCUAGAACUUUGAGCAAGUACAAUGCUGUUAAUGGUGAUUCUAUCUAUUUGCUAGUUCUUGAUUCCAAGUUUGGAGGGGUGGUGAAAUUUGGUGGAGAUCUAAGUAAGCUUGAAGUCAACUCAAGCAACCCAUACAACUCUGUGGUAGAAUGGAUUAAAGUUCAUGCAGAAGUUAGUGUUUCACCAGUGGAUCGGAUAUGGAACAAGUUAGGAAAUGCCAAUUGGGGGGACUUGGGAACUUUGCAACUGCUUCUGGCUACCUUUCACUCCAUAGUUCAGGUGAAGGGUCCACCAAGAAAGUCAAUUUCCACAUUGGCAGCAGAUCAUAGUCUUCGUCUCCAGAAGCGUAGGAUAGAGUGCUGCCUUCUUGAUAAUGGAAAUGGUUUGGUCUCCAUGCAGCAGACUAGCCACAGUCAGGAGAUUGUUGAACUUGACCAUGAUGAGGACCUGUCUUUUGGAAGGCAAGCAUCACGCUUGAAGCUCAAGCAGGGUGAAAUAAUGUUGUUGGAAGAUCAGCAAGGGCGGAAAGGGUUCAGGAUUCAGGAGACUCUGGUAGAAGGAAACUGCAUGUCAUACAGUGCCAUUUCUCUAGAACAUCCUGGUGAGUUAUUGACUGUACAUGUGGGAGCACAUCCAUCUAGGCUUGAGCCAUCUUGGGAGGAUAUGAGUCUGUGGUACCAGGUACAGAGGCAGACUAAAGUAUUGAACAUUCUGAAGCAGCAGGGUAUCUCAAGCAAGUAUUUGCCUGAAAUUGUGGCCUCUGGUCGCAUUUUACAUUCUGGUCAUUGUAAGAAGCAGAGUCCAGGUGAUCGGUGUGAUCACCCAUGGUGUGGAACACCAAUUCUUGUGACAUCUCCAGUUGGAGAGCCACUGUCAUCCAUUGUUGCUCGGGAUGGACCGUUUUCCUCUGAGGAGGCAGUCCGCUGCUGCCGGGACUGCCUGUCAGCUCUUAGAAGUGCUUCAAAAGCCAAUGUUAUGCAUGGGGACCUCUGCCCUGAGAAUAUUGCACGUGUUGUUGAUGCCCAUGGUGCCAGAAACAGAUCUCUGUUUGUGCUUAGUUCCUGGGGGCGUGCAGUUCUGGAAGAUAGAGAUAGUCCAGCAAUAAAUUUGCAAUUCUCCUCAACUCAUGCACUUCAGCAGGGGAAGCUGUGUCCAGCAUCAGAUGCCGAGAGCCUUAUUUAUCUGCUAUAUUUUGUCUGUGGAGGAACAAUGCAGCAGCAGGAUUCCAUUGAAUCUGCACUUCAGUGGAGGGAGAGAUGCUGGGCAAGGCGAUUAAUUCAACAGCAGCUCGGUGAGGUUUCAGCUCUAUUAAAAGCAUUUGCUGAUUACGUGGAUAGCCUCUGUGGAACUCCAUACCCUGUGGACUACGACAUCUGGUUGAAGCGACUAAACAGAGCAGUAGAUGGUUCGACUGAUAGGGGGAAAUUGAUUGAGGAAGUUGCUGCAACUAUGAGAUUAGAGGACAUUCCAGAGUCUUCUGGAACUUCUGGAGGUUGUACAUCAUUUUCAUGUUAAAAGAAAGGUUGGUGGUUUGUGUAAUUUCAUUUUUUCCUUUUUAUUUUCUUGUUUCUUUUUGUGGGUACUUCCGUACUGGGUAGGGGGCUUCUAAGAUCUGCAUACACCACUUCUAAGCAAUGUUAUUUAUGUAGAGCUUCCCUUUGAUUGAUUGCACUGCUGGGAAAAUUCUCCACUCCAAUUCUCUGAGAAUUCUCUCUUAGGGUGAGGUGCACAUUCUUAUUCAUCGGAGAGAUUGAAAUAAGAGAACUUGAGAAGGUUAAUGCUAAUAUUGCAACAUGAUAAAUGCAGCGAGGAAGCACGGUAGGUUGCAUAAAAUGAUAUCUAUAUGUGGGUUGUGUUGGAAUCUUUCUCAAGUCCAAUGAUGCUUCCUCUGGCUAUUUUUUAUUGGAACCAUGUAUGGCACAGAUGAUGGAUUGAAGUUGAACUCAUCCACAAAUGAGACUGAAGACUGCAUUUUUCAUUUCUUUCUGUGUCAGGCACUCUUCUAAAUGGGAACUGGGUGUUGAAUUUCCAUUUUCCAUGCUCCAUGCAUUCUCUUUUGGAGAUUCCACAAUGUGUCCUUUCCCAUGAUUUUCUUUCUUGUUAUCAGUUAUCUCCAAACCAUAAUUUUCAUAAUCAAACAUUUAGCCUCUAUCAUAGAAUCUACCUUUCCUACAGAAGAUUUGGUGUAGAGAAAGACUAAAUUUUUCCACCCAACUUCAGAAGAGGUGAUCUACUACUUAACAUGCCCGCCAAGACUAGGGUUGUCAACAGGUCGGGACAGGGUGUCACAGUCCUGUUUACCAGUUGCAAUCUCCUGAAUCAGAAUAUCAUGCAGUUAGUUCAACCAUUGAUUUUACAAGAGGAUAAUGCUGAUCUUUGCAGAGUGCUCUCGAAGGAGGAAAUCGAAAUGGUGGUCCUUCAGAUUUGGUGCAUGUGUCUCUUCACCAACUUUAUUUAUUAUAUGCAUAAAUGUUCUUUCUCUGCUCUUAACAAAGCUUGUUGAUGAAGGCAAACUGUCAGGUAUCAAGAUUACUUGGGUUGUCCUGCUGUCUUGCACAUGCUCUUUGCAAAUGAUCUUGUUAUCUUUGGUAGGGCAACUAUAAGUGAGCUGGAAGUUAUCCAAAAGGCGUUACUGAUUUUGGAGCUUGUUUAGGUCAUUUGUGAAUUUCCAAAGGUCAGGAAUGUUUGUAAGUAAAAAUGUGACCAAUCGUAUGAUAGGGCUACUCUUAUCAAGCAUCAUCCCUUCCCAAAUUCACAGUGUUGCUCAAUUUUGCAAAGUUUCUUUGAUGAGGGGACAAGGAAAGCAAUUAUGAAUGUGCCAGUUGCAAAAAAUGCAGUUAUGGAGGAUGGUUGGGUGUGAACUUUGAUAAGAAGUGGACUUUUUUCUAUGAAAUUAGCUUAGACUUCUUUGUUUCCACCUAUCUUUUGAUGGGGAUGCCACCUGAAAAAAAAAAAAAAAAAAAAAUUGGAAACAAAAACUCUACCCAAGAAUUUAGAUGUUUAUGUGGAAGCUCUUGAAGACUUGAACUAUGGACUCAUGACUAGAGAUAAGUGUGGAAUCAGUCAAUCAUCUUUUUUCUUCAUUGGUAUUUCUCGAAAUCAGUGUGGUUUGGGUCAAGAUUUGGUUGGCAUCCUUUAUCCAGAGGAAUUUCAAACUUUCAACAAUAUAAAGUUGGAUUCAUACUUCUAUCUCUCAUGUGGGGUGCAAUGAUGUAUAAUCCUGGUGGAGAUUUGUUUGGUUUAGUACUGCACUAUGGAAAAUUUGGAUGGGUAGAAAUAAGGUGAUCUUCCAAAAUCAUGUUCCAGAUCUACUUUUAAUUUGAGAGAUUAACCAAUUUGAUAAUAGUGGAAGUUUGUGACAUGUGCUUUGGAGGGGGAUUUUAAAAUUUA